rnacentral:rRNA from 1 species
UACGUAGGGUGCAAGCGUUAAUCGGAAUUACUGGGCGUAAAGCGUGCGCAGGCGGUUGUGCAAGACAGAUGUGAAAUCCCCGGGCUUAACCUGGGAACUGCAUUUGUGACUGCAUGGCUAGAGUGUGUCAGAGGGGGGUAGAAUUCCACGUGUAGCAGUGAAAUGCGUAGAUAUGUGGAGGAAUACCGAUGGCGAAGGCAGCCCCCUGGGAUAGCACUGACGCUCAUGCACGAAAGCGUGGGGAGCAAACAGG